rnacentral:rRNA from 1 species
UACGAAGGGGGCUAGCGUUGUUCGGAAUCACUGGGCGUAAAGCGCACGUAGGCGGCUUUGUGUGUCGGAUGUGAAAUCCCUCGGCUCAACCAAGGAAGUGCAUUCGAAACUGCAAAGCUUGAGUACUUAAGAGGAUCGCGGAAUUCCCGGUGUAGAGGUGAAAUUCGUAGAUAGUCGGGAGGAACACCAGUGGCGAAGGCGGCGAUCUGGGAAGAUACUGACGCUGAGGUGCGAAAGCGUGGGGAGCAAACAGG